UCAAAGGAAUUGACGGGACCCGCACAAGCAGCGGAGCGUGUGGUUUAAUUCGUUGCUACACGAAGAACCUUACCUGGGUUUGACAUAUAAGUUGUAGGGAACUGAAAAGGGACCGACCCUUCGGGGAGCUUAUACAGGUGUUGCAUGGCUGUCGUCAGCUCGUGUCGUGAGAUGUUCGGUUAAGUCCGCUAACGAGCGCAACCCUCGCCGUAUGUUACAAGUGUCAUACGGGACUGCCGGUAAAAGCCGGAGGAAGGUGAGGAUGAUGUCAAGUCAGCAUGACCUUUAUAUCCAGGGCUACACACACGCUACAAUGGUCUGUACAAUUGGUUGCCAAGCCGCGAGGCGGAGCCAAUCCGUAAAGCAGGCCUCAGUUCAGAUUGCAGUCUGCAACUCGACUGCAUGAAGCCGGAGUUGCUAGUAACCGCAGGUCAGCAAUACUGCGGUGAAUACGUUCCCGGGUCUU
rnacentral:rRNA from 1 species